CCUACGGGUGGCAGCAGUGAGGAAUAUUGGUCAAUGGUCGGGAGACUGAACCAGCCAAGUCGCGUGAAGGAUGACGGUACAGAGUAUCGUAAACCUCUUUUGUCAGGGAAUAAAGUGAGGCACGUGUGCCCGUUUGUAUGUACCUUAUGAAAAAGCAUCGGCUAACUCCGUGCCAGCAGCCGCGGUAAUACGGAGGAUCCGAGCGUUAUCCGGAUUUAUUGGGUUUAAAGGGUGCGUAGGCGGUUUGUUAAGUCAGCGGUAAAAGCCUGGGGCUCAACCGUAGACCGCCGUUGAAUCUGGCAGUCGUGAGUUGGAGUGAAGUAUGCGGAAUGCGCGGUGUAGCGGUGAAAUGCAUAGAUAUCGCGCAGAACUCCGAUUGCGAAGGCAGCAUGCCGGCUCCACACUGACGCUGAGGCACGAAAGCGUGGGUAUCGAACAGGAUUAGAUACCCGGGUAGUC
rnacentral:rRNA from 1 species